rnacentral:tRNA from 1 species
GCCUGAGUGGCUUAGUCAGUUAAGCAUCUGAUUUUGGCUCAGGUCAUGAUCUUGGGAUCUUGGGAUCAAGUCCUGUGUCAGGCU